UGGGGAAUAUUGCACAAUGGGGGAAACCCUGAUGCAGCGACGCCGCGUGAGUGAAGAAGUAUUUCGGUAUGUAAAGCUCUAUCAGCAGGGAAGAAAAUGACGGUACCUGACUAAGAAGCCCCGGCUAACUACGUGCCAGCAGCUGCGGUAAUACGUAGGGGGCAAGCGUUAUCCGGAUUUACUGGGUGUAAAGGGAGCGUAGACGGCUAGACAAGUCUGGUGUGAAAACCCGGGGCUCAACCCUGGGACUGCAUUGGAAACUGUUUGGCUUGAGUGCAGGAGAGGUAAGUGGAAUUCCUAGUGUAGCGGUGAAAUGCGUAGAUAUUAGGAGGAACACCAGUGGCGAAGGCGGCUUACUGGACUGUAACUGACGUUGAGGCUCGAAAGCGUGGGGAGCAAACAG
rnacentral:rRNA from 1 species